GGAUAGCUCAGUGAGUAGAUCAUGAGAUUCUCAAUCUCAGGGUCCUGGGUUCAAGCCCCAAGUUGGGCA